UACAGAGGUCUCAAGCGUUGUUCGGAUUCAUUGGGCGUAAAGGGUGUGUAGGUGGCGCCGUAAGUCGGAUGUGAAAACUCGGGGCUCAACCCCGAGACGCCAUCCGAUACUGCGGUGACUUGAGUCUGGUAGGGGAACACGGAAUUCCUGGUGUAGCGGUGAAAUGCGCAGAUAUCAGGAGGAACACCGAUGGCGAAGGCAGUGUUCUGGGCCAGUACUGACGCUGAGGAGCGAAAGCCAGGGGAGCGAACGGG
rnacentral:rRNA from 1 species